GGGUUGUGAGGUUAAGCGACUAAGCGUACACGGUGGAUGCCCUGGCAGUCAGAGGCGAUGAAGGGCGUGCUAAUCUGCGAUAAGCGCCGGUAAGGUGAUAUGAACCGUUAUAACCGGCGAUACCCGAAUGGGGAAACCCAGUGUGAUUCGUCACACUAUCAUUAACUGAAUCCAUAGGUUAAUGAGGCGAACCGGGGGAACUGAAACAUCUAAGUACCCCGAGGAAAAGAAAUCAACCGAGAUUCCCCCAGUAGCGGCGAGCGAACGGGGAGGAGCCCAGAGCCUGAAUCAGCAUGUGUGUUAGUGGAAGCGUCUGGAAAGGCGCGCGAUACAGGGUGACAGCCCCGUACACAAAAGCGCAUGUGCUGUGAGCUCGAUGAGUAGGGCGGGACACGUGGUAUCCUGUCUGAAUAUGGGGGGACCAUCCUCCAAGGCUAAAUACUCCUGACUGACCGAUAGUGAACCAGUACCGUGAGGGAAAGGCGAAAAGAACCCCGGCGAGGGGAGUGAAAAAGAACCUGAAACCGUGUACGUACAAGCAGUGGGAGCACAGGUUUACCUGUGUGACUGCGUACCUUUUGUAUAAUGGGUCAGCGACUUAUAUUCUGUAGCAAGGUUAACCGAAUAGGGGAGCCGGAGGGAAACCGAGUCUUAAUUGGGCGUUAAGUUGCAGGGUAUAGACCCGAAACCCGGUGAUCUAGCCAUGGGCAGGUUGAAGGUUGGGUAACACUAACUGGAGGACCGAACCGACUAAUGUUGAAAAAUUAGCGGAUGACCUGUGGCUGGGGGUGAAAGGCCAAUCAAACCGGGAGAUAGCUGGUUCUCCCCGAAAGCUAUUUAGGUAGCGCCUCGUGAACUCAUCUCCGGGGGUAGAGCACUGUUUCGGCUAGGGGGCCAUCCCGGCUUACCAACCCGAUGCAAACUGCGAAUACCGGAGAAUGUUAUCACGGGAGACACACGGCGGGUGCUAACGUCCGUCGUGAAGAGGGAAACAACCCAGACCGCCAGCUAAGGUCCCAAAGUCAUGGUUAAGUGGGAAACGAUGUGGGAAGGCCCAGACAGCCAGGAUGUUGGCUUAGAAGCAGCCAUCAUUUAAAGAAAGCGUAAUAGCUCACUGGUCGAGUCGGCCUGCGCGGAAGAUGUAACGGGGCUAAACCAUGCACCGAAGCUGCGGCAGCGAACGUAUCACUUAAAGCGAUUCAGCGGGUUACGAUUGACGGAGCGAAGCGACGUCAAAGCGUAUACAAAGUCGAGUCGGUUUAAGGAUACGUUCGUUGGGUAGGGGAGCGUUCUGUAAGCCUGUGAAGGUGGCCUGUGAGGGUUGCUGGAGGUAUCAGAAGUGCGAAUGCUGACAUAAGUAACGAUAAAGCGGGUGAAAAGCCCGCUCGCCGGAAGACCAAGGGUUCCUGUCCAACGUUAAUCGGGGCAGGGUGAGUCGACCCCUAAGGCGAGGCCGAAAGGCGUAGUCGAUGGGAAACGGGUUAAUAUUCCCGUACUUGGUGUUACUGCGAAGGGGGGACGGAGAAGGCUAUGUUGGCCGGGCGACGGUUGUCCCGGUUUAAGCGUGUAGGUGUGUGUUCCAGGUAAAUCCGGUUCACUUUAACACUGAGGCGUGAUGACGAGGCACUACGGUGCUGAAGCAACAAAUGCCCUGCUUCCAGGAAAAGCCUCUAAGCAUCAGGUAACAUCAAAUCGUACCCCAAACCGACACAGGUGGUCAGGUAGAGAAUACCAAGGCGCUUGAGAGAACUCGGGUGAAGGAACUAGGCAAAAUGGUGCCGUAACUUCGGGAGAAGGCACGCUGACACGUAGGUGAAGUGAUUUACUCACGGAGCUGAAGUCAGUCGAAGAUACCAGCUGGCUGCAACUGUUUAUUAAAAACACAGCACUGUGCAAACACGAAAGUGGACGUAUACGGUGUGACGCCUGCCCGGUGCCGGAAGGUUAAUUGAUGGGGUCAGCGCAAGCGAAGCUCCUGAUCGAAGCCCCGGUAAACGGCGGCCGUAACUAUAACGGUCCUAAGGUAGCGAAAUUCCUUGUCGGGUAAGUUCCGACCUGCACGAAUGGCGUAAUGAUGGCCAGGCUGUCUCCACCCGAGACUCAGUGAAAUUGAACUCGCUGUGAAGAUGCAGUGUACCCGCGGCAAGACGGAAAGACCCCGUGAACCUUUACUAUAGCUUGACACUGAACAUUGAGCCUUGAUGUGUAG
rnacentral:rRNA from 1 species